UACGAGGGGGGCGAGCGUUGUUCGGAAUUAUUGGGCGUAAAGGGUGCGUAGGCGGUUCUCCAAGUCCGGUGUGAAAUCUAUGGGCUCAACUCAUAGUCUGCAUGAGAAACUGCCGGGCUUGAGUAUGGGAGAGGUGAGUGGAAUUCCUGGUGUAGCGGUGAAAUGCGUAGAUAUCAGGAGGAACACCUGUGGCGAAAGCGGCUCACUGGACCAUAACUGACGCUGAUGCACGAAAGCUAGGGGAGCAAACAGG
rnacentral:rRNA from 1 species